rnacentral:rRNA from 1 species
AGCUUGCUUCUCUGAUGUUAGCGGCGGACGGGUGAGUAACACGUGGAUAACCUACCUAUAAGACUGGGAUAACUUCGGGAAACCGGAGCUAAUACCGGAUAAUAUUUUGAACCGCAUGGUUCAAAAGUGAAAGACGGUCUUGCUGUCACUUAUAGAUGGAUCCGCGCUGCAUUAGCUAGUUGGUAAGGUAACGGCUUACCAAGGCAACGAUGCAUAGCCGACCUGAGAGGGUGAUCGGCCACACUGGAACUGAGACACGGUCCAGACUCCUACGGGAGGCAGCAGUAGGGAAUCUUCCGCAAUGGGCGAAAGCCUGACGGAGCAACGCCGCGUGAGUGAUGAAGGUCUUCGGAUCGUAAAACUCUGUUAUUAGGGAAGAACAUAUGUGUAAGUAACUGCGCACAUCUUGACGGUACCUAAUCAGAAAGCCACGGCUAACUACGUGCCAGCAGCCGCGGUAAUACGUAGGUGGCAAGCGUUAUCCGGAAUUAUUGGGCGUAAAGCGCGCGUAGGCGGUUUUUUAAGUCUGAUGUGAAAGCCCACGGCUCAACCGUGGAGGGUCAUUGGAAACUGGAAAACUUGAGUGCAGAAGAGGAAAGUGGAAUUCCAUGUGUAGCGGUGAAAUGCGCAGAGAUAUGGAGGAACACCAGUGGCGAAGGCGACUUUCUGGUCUGUAACUGACGCUGAUGUGCGAAAGCGUGGGGAUCAAACAGGAUUAGAUACCCUGGUAGUCCACGCCGUAAACGAUGAGUGCUAAGUGUUAGGGGGUUUCCGCCCCUUAGUGCUGCAGCU